AGAGUUUGAUCCUGGCUCAGAUUGAACGCUGGCGGAAUGCUUUACACAUGCAAGUCGAACGGCAGCACGGGAGCUUGCUCCUGGUGGCGAGUGGCGAACGGGUGAGUAACGCGUCGGAACGUACCGAGUAAUGGGGGAUAACGCAGCGAAAGCUGUGCUAAUACCGCAUACGCCCUGAGGGGGAAAGUGGGGGAUCGCAAGACCUCACGUUAUUCGAGCGGCCGACGUCUGAUUAGCUUGUUGGUGGGGUAAUGGCCUACCAAGGCGACGAUCAGUAGCGGGUCUGAGAGGAUGAUCCGCCACACUGGAACUGAGACACGGUCCAGACUCCUACGGGAGGCAGCAGUGGGGAAUUUUGGACAAUGGGGGCAACCCUGAUCCAGCCAUUCCGCGUGAGUGAAGAAGGCCUUCGGGUUGUAAAGCUCUUUCAGCUGGAACGAAACGGUACAUCCUAAUACGGUGUGCUAAUGACGGUACCAGCAGAAGAAGCACCGGCUAACUACGUGCCAGCAGCCGCGGUAAUACGUAGGGUGCGAGCGUUAAUCGGAAUUACUGGGCGUAAAGCGUGCGCAGGCGGAUUGUUAAGCAAGAUGUGAAAUCCCCGGGCUUAACCUGGGAAUGGCAUUUUGAACUGGCAGUCUAGAGUGUGUCAGAGGGGGGUGGAAUUCCACGUGUAGCAGUGAAAUGCGUAGAGAUGUGGAGGAACACCAAUGGCGAAGGCAGCCCCCUGGGAUAACACUGACGCUCAUGUACGAAAGCGUGGGUAGCAAACAGGAUUAGAUACCCUGGUAGUCG
rnacentral:rRNA from 1 species